UUCUCCUCAACCCCACCUCCAGCUACUGUACUCUCCCUGCUUCCACAUGUUCCCUCACCUGCUGAGGAGCUGUAUGUGCCAGUAUGCGAGCAAUCCUCCCCAUGAUGUCCAGUCUCCCCUGCUGUAGUCCAGACUUCUCUUUGGUUCUUUUAACAAACUCUUUGGCUAUGCUGGAUGCAUUGAGGCAGGAAAACGUGUGCUUGCUGAGUGCAUGAGACUUACUAAAAACAUUAUGCAGAAAGUCCCAACCUCCAAUGUCCACUCCUGGGGGUAGUGGCUGGUAAACGGGAAGCCAACUUCAUGGCAAAGUGAGUUCAGGUAGGUUCAUUACUUCAAAUGUUUUCCUGCAGUGAACCAUAGACUCUCCCUCUUGCCAUCUUACCUUGGAGCUUUCACCUUUCACAUUAUUCCCCUCUUUUUGUAGGUGGUAGCCUUACUGAUUCCACCUGUUGGAUAUCCCAUACACAGGGAAAGGAAUCCUCUUUGUCCUGUAGCCACUUUUCUUUAUAUUUACCCCUUGUCUCCUCCACAUCCUCUCCCUUCCACACCAACAGUUUCUGGUGCUGAAAUGUUCUGACUUCAGAGAGGCCUGAAGGAAGUGAGUGACGACAGGAUAUCCAUGCUGAGAAACUGGGAGCAUGGACAUUUGAAAAGAAAUACAGGCUUAGCAGCAGUGGAGUAAGCAUCUACAUGAAGUAUACUCAGCUCAUCCCUGGAAUCAUGCUACCUCGGGUAACAGUGAGGUAUCAAGGAGGUAUUUUGCUCUUUCUACGAAAUUUUUGAGAAGAAACUUCCUGUAACAUCUGACAAGACCACGCACCACCCCCAGGAGAGCAGUUCUCAUCCAGGCAGGGGACUCAUGAGCACGAAGGAACCUCUGCUCCUCUGGCUCAGGCCACAGCACAAAUCCACUCUGCAGAGGGUGCAAUAGUGGAUACCACUGCUCAAGGCAGCAUAAGGAAACGCUAAAGAAAUGCAACUUCUUUAACAUUUCCUGGCCCCUGGAAGUGAGGAUUGGGCUUUCAGGGGUCAUUCUGAAGGAGGGUGGUGGGAGAUGCCUUUUGAUGCCCAAGGGAUCGCAUGUCUUGUAAAAAGGGUGGAGGGCAGUAGGAAGACCGGAAUGGUGCCAGAGUGUCAGAGGCUUGUCUCGUCGAUGGCUGAUUGAGCAAGGAGACUUUGUAAACCUCUCUCAGGCACUUUGUACUUGAAGAUGAGGGAUACACAGUCACUGAAGAAGGAGGCUGAUCAAACUACUCUUACCAUGAAGAAGAUACUGUGGAUCUGUAAUCCAGGCAGUGCUGAUUAUUGCUUGUAGCCUCUUUGUUUUGUAAAUGAACACAAAAAAUGCAGUGUCCUCUUGAGAAUUAGGGUGCAGCUCCAUGUUAAGGAUCCUUCAUUAGCAGAUCCAAAAUACCCUCUCUAUACCCUGUCCCUGCUCCCAUGCAAGGGGGCUGCCUCUGCUGCCAUGCCUAUUCCUGGUGUGAGCAAGAGUGGUGAAAAUAGGUAAAUUAUAGCAAGAAGUGCAUAGAAAAAUAGAUAGAUAAUAGGAAAAAAGUGCUUCUUUAGGACCAGGCCAUUCUACGUCUCUGUGUUAACUGAGCUGGUGCAAAGGAGAGAGAUAACUGAACUUCCUAGGGGAUGGGAGGUGGCAGGGGUGAGUGUGGAUGGUGGGGGCAGGGGCAGAAACUUCUAACAAAUGCUGCUGCCAAAGGACUGAAAACAUCAUAAUCCACUCUUAAUUUAUUGGGAUGGAUUUUGUCUAACUUUACUAAAAAACAGGUGUGCAUAUGGACACUGGGCAUGUCUGGAGAGCGAGAGCCCUAUCCCAUGUAAUAAAUCAGCUCCUUGCUGCUGAGAUGCUCUUUCUGUCCUCUGUGAGGGAGUCCAGAUGCCCAGCUGACCCAACUGCCUAACUCUUCGAUUGCUAAAGUGAGCUCAGAUGAGUCUGCUCUUACCCUUUAUUUAUGUUCAUGUAUUGUCUGAGUUUACAAAUAAAUCCACUAAGUAGUUUGAUUAUGAACAGAUUCUGUAAGCACCUAACAUUGGACCUAUGUUAACGAUGGAAAAAAAGAAAAAUCUUUGUAGGUUACACUGUUAAAGAAAUAUGAUCAUCCUCCAUUUUGUGUCAUUUGCCAAAUGUAGUUUCUUGCCAACACUGAAAAAUCAUGUUCUGCUGGAGGAAAUUCCUUAAAGGCUUGCCAUCUCUCAACAUCACUUCUCUCUUCUAUUGUUUCUAGAAGGAAUAAAACUCCAGAGUGCUUUAAGCAAAAACGACCACUGCUUCUCUUUGUCAUUUGAACAGAGCUUAACCUCUUUUCUAAGGACAGCUUGCUUUCAUUCUCCAGAGAGGGAUGAACCGAAGGCAUUAUAUUAGAAAUCUGGAAUACCUUACCCAAAGAGUCAUUUUAUCUAAUCUGGCACCAUAAUUGCUGCA